CCAUGCAAGUCGAGGGGCAGCAUGGUCUUAGCUUGCUAAGGCCGAUGGCGACCGGCGCACGGGUGAGUAACACGUAUCCAACCUGCCUUAUACUCCCGGACAGCCUUCUGAAAGGAAGAUUAAUACGGGAUGGNAUCACGAGCCAGCAUUUUCUCGUGAUUAAAGAACUUCGGUAUAAGAUGGGGAUGCGUUCCAUUAGAUAGUAGGCGGGGUAACGGCCCACCUAGUCGACGAUGGAUAGGGGUUCUGAGAGGAAGGUCCCCCACAUUGGAACUGAGACACGGUCCAAACUCCUACGGGAGGCAGCAGUGAGGAAUAUUGGUCAAUGGGCGCGAGCCUGAACCAGCCAAGUAGCGUGAAGGAUGACUGCCCUACGGGUUGUAAACUUCUUUUAUAAAGGAAUAAAGUGAGGCACGUGUGCCUUUUUGUAUGUACUUUAUGAAUAAGGAUCGGCUAACUCCGUGCCAGCAGCCGCGGUAAUACGGAGGAUCCGAGCGUUAUCCGGAUUUAUUGGGUUUAAAGGGAGCGUAGAUGGGUUGUUAAGUCAGUUGUGAAAGUUUGCGGCUCAACCGUAAAAUUGCAAUUGAUACUGGCAGUCUUGAGUACAGUUGAGGUAGGCGGAAUUCGUGGUGUAGCGGUGAAAUGCUUAGAUAUCACGAAGAACUCCGAUUGCGAAGGCAGCUUACUAAACUGCCACUGACAUUGAUGCUCGAAAGUGUGGGUAUCAAACAGGAUUAGAUACCCUGGUAGUCCACACGGUAAACGAUGAAUACUCGCUGUUUGCGAUAUACUGCAAGCGGCCAAGCGAAAGCGUUAAGUAUUCCACCUGGGGAGUACGCCGGCAACGGUGAAACUCAAAGGAAUUGACGGGGGCCCGCACAAGCGGAGGAACAUGUGGUUUAAUUCGAUGAUACGCGAGGAACCUUACCCGGGCUUGAAUUGCACUCGAAUAUAGCGGAAACGUUAUAGCUAGCAAUAGCGAGUGUGAAGGUGCUGCAUGGUUGUCGUCAGCUCGUGCCGUGAGGUGUCGGCUUAAGUGCCAUAACGAGCGCAACCCUUGUCUAUAGUUACUAACAGGUGAUGCUGAGGACUCUAUGGAGACUGCCAUCGUAAGAUGUGAGGAAGGUGGGGAUGACGUCAAAUCAGCACGGCCCUUACGUCCGGGGCCACACACGUGUUACAAUGGGGGGUACAGAGGGCCGCUACCACGCAAGUGGAUGCCAAUCCCGAAAGCCUCUCUCAGUUCGGACUGGAGUCUGCAACCCGACUCCACGAAGCUGGAUUCGCUAGUAAUCGCGCAUCAGCCAUGGCGCGGUGAAUACGUUCCCGGGCCUUGUACACACCGCCCGUCAAGCCAUGGGAGCCGGGGGUACCUGAAGUGCGUAACCGCAAGGAGCGCCCUAGGGUAAAGCUGAUGU
rnacentral:rRNA from 1 species